AAUACUCUUCUUUCAAGAAAAUGCUGGCAAUAUUGCUCAUCGUCUUGAAUUUAUUCGCAUGAUGCUGCAAAGGCUGGAAUGCAAUGUGUUUAUGCUUUCAUAUAGAGGGUAUGGAGAAAGUGAUGGUUACCCAUCACAACAUGG